rnacentral:tRNA from 1 species
GGUAAGGUGGCUCAGUGGUAGAGUGCUUGCCUUGCAAGCAUGAGGCCCUGGGUUUGAUUCCUCAGUACCA